CACUAGUCAGGUGCACACAGGAUCGAUUCCAGUGUGUGACUGUCCCUCAGUGCAUCCCCUCCGACUGGAGGUGCGACGGUGAGGCUGACUGUGAGGACAGGAGCGAUGAGAGGGAGUGUGGCUCCCCCUGGUGGACAGAAGGUGUGGUGGUGGCGGGCGGCGCUGUAGUUGUCGCAGCCACUCAAGUAGCGGUUGCAGUUCUUGGCUUUGGAGUCGCAGGCAUCGGUGCUGGAACUUGGACAGCAGGCUCCGUGUCCAGACCUGCUACACUGGGGGUGGGACUGGGGGUCGUGUCCACCCUCCAAGUGACUGGAGCCACGGGGACACAUAACCACUCGCACGUAGGAGUAGGAGCAGGAGAAGAGGAAGGAUUCCGUGACCACGUCUUCGUGGGCGAUGGUCAUCACAACCUGGGCGAGGACGAGCUGCAAGACGAGGACUAGACCUAUAAGUCACGUGACUUCUAGUUGCUAAGUGUUUAUUGGGUACAUUGUCUGGUUUUAACAAUGGGUAUUACAAUGGGUUUUAGUGUUGGUACCCGCUCUUCAGUAUCCACUUAUUAGCUUUUUAUUUGUACAAUCUUUGGGGUUACAAUGACUUUCGUUGUCGCUGACUUGCUGUGGGCUUUUUUCUUAAUUGCUGUAAAUGCUGCAAUAAAACAACCAUUAACAGUAUAUCACUAUAUAUAAUAAAACAAUUAUCAGCCA